GCCCUUUUCAGAAGCACAUGUAAUAAAGUUGGAACAAUACAGAAAUGAUUAGCAUGGCCUUUGCAUGAAGAUACAUGCACAUUGUGAAGCAUUCUGCAUGUUU